rnacentral:rRNA from 1 species
UACGGGGGGGAGCAAGCGUUGUUCGGAUUUACUGGGCGUAAAGGGCGCGUAGGCGGCCACCGCAAGUCAGUUGUGAAAGCUCUGGGCUUAACCCAGAAAGGUCAACUGAUACUGCGGGGCUAGAGUGCAGAAGGGGCAACUGGAAUUCUCGGUGUAGCGGUGAAAUGCGUAGAUAUCGAGAGGAACACCUGCGGCGAAGGCGGGUUGCUGGGCUGACACUGACGCUGAAGUGCGAAAGCUAGGGGAGCGAACGGG